rnacentral:tRNA from 1 species
GCCCUUUUAGCUCAGCGGACAGAGCGCUUGGUUUCUACCCAAGGACUGCGGGGGUUCGAAUCCUCCAAGGGGCAC